rnacentral:rRNA from 1 species
UACGUAGGGUGCAAGCGUUGUCCGGAAUUAUUGGGCGUAAAGCGCGUGUAGGCGGCCAGAUAGGUCUGCUGUGAAAACUCGAGGCUCAACCUCGAGCUGUCGGCGGAAACCAUCUGGCUAGAGUCCGGAAGAGGCGAGUGGAAUUCCUGGUGUAGCGGUGAAAUGCGCAGAUAUCAGGAGGAACACCGAUGGCGAAGGCAGCUCGCUGGGACGGUACUGACGCUGAGGCGCGAAAGCGUGGGGAGCGAACAGG